CCUACGGGUGGCUGCAGUGAGGAAUAUUGGUCAAUGGGCGAGAGCCUGAACCAGCCAAGUCGCGUGAAGGAUGACGGCCCUACGGGUUGUAAACUUCUUUUGUCAGGGAGCAAUUGAGUCCACGUGUGGUCUUAGCGAGAGUACCUGAAGAAAAAGCAUCGGCUAACUCCGUGCCAGCAGCCGCGGUAAUACGGAGGAUGCGAGCGUUAUCCGGAUUUAUUGGGUUUAAAGGGUGCGUAGGCGGAAUAUCAAGUCAGCGGUAAAAUGUCGGGGCUCAACCCCGGCCGGCCGUUGAAACUGGUUUUCUAGAGUUGGAGAGAAGUAUGCGGAAUUCGUGGUGUAGCGGUGAAAUGCAUAGAUAUCACGAAGAACUCCGAUUGCGAAGGCAGCAUACCGGCUCCAUACUGACGCUGAGGCACGAAAGCGUGGGGAUCGAACAGGAUUAGAUACCCCAGUAGUC
rnacentral:rRNA from 1 species